UGGGGAAUAUUGCACAAUGGGCGCAAGCCUGAUGCAGCCAUGCCGCGUGUAUGAAGAAGGCCUUCGGGUUGUAAAGUACUUUCAGCGGGGAGGAAGGGAGUAAAGUUAAUACCUUUGCUCAUUGACGUUACCCGCAGAAGAAGCACCGGCUAACUCCGUGCCAGCAGCCGCGGUAAUACGGAGGGUGCAAGCGUUAAUCGGAAUUACUGGGCGUAAAGCGCACGCAGGCGGUUGAUUGAGUCAGAUGUGAAAUCCCCGGGCUUAACCCGGGAAUUGCAUCUGAAACUGGUCAGCUAGAGUCUUGUAGAGGGGGGUAGAAUUCCAUGUGUAGCGGUGAAAUGCGUAGAGAUGAGGAGGAAUACCGGUGGCGAAGGCGGCCCCCUGGACAAAGACUGACGCUCAGGGGCGAAAGCGUGGGGAGCAAACAGG
rnacentral:rRNA from 1 species